AGAGUUUGAUCAUGGCUCAGGAUGAACGCUGGCGGCGUGCCUAACACAUGCAAGUCGAGCGGUCUUCUUCGGAAGAGAGCGGCGGACGGGUGAGUAACGCGUGGGUAACCUGCCUCAUACACAUGGAUAACAUACCGAAAGGUAUGCUAAUACAAGAUGAUAUAAGAGAUUCGCAUGGAUUUCUUAUCAAAGCUCCGGCGGUAUGAGAUGGACCCGCGUCUGAUUAGCUAGUUGGCAAGGUAACGGCUUACCAAGGCGACGAUCAGUAGCCGACCUGAGAGGGUGAUCGGCCACAUUGGAACUGAGACACGGUCCAAACUCCUACGGGAGGCAGCAGUGGGGAAUAUUGCACAAUGGGCGAAAGCCUGAUGCAGCAACGCCGCGUGAGCGAUGAAGGCCUUCGGGUCGUAAAGCUCUGUCCUCAAGGAAGAUAAUGACGGUACUUGAGGAGGAAGCCCCGGCUAACUACGUGCCAGCAGCCGCGGUAAUACGUAGGGGGCUAGCGUUAUCCGGAUUUACUGGGCGUAAAGGGUGCGUAGGUGGUUUCUUAAGUCAGGAGUGAAAGGCUACGGCUCAACCGUAGUAAGCUUUUGAAACUGGGAAACUUGAGUGCAGGAGAGGAAAGUGGAAUUCCUAGUGUAGCGGUGAAAUGCGUAGAUAUUAGGAGGAACACCAGUAGCGAAGGCGGCUUUCUGGACUGUAACUGACACUGAGGCACGAGAGCGUGGGGAGCAAACAGGAUUAGAUACCCUGGUAGUCCACGCCGUAAACGAUGAGUACUAGGUGUCGGGGGUUACCCCCCUCGGUGCCGCAGCUAACGCAUUAAGUACUCCGCCUGGGGAGUACGCUCGCAAGAGUGAAACUCAAAGGAAUUGACGG
rnacentral:rRNA from 1 species